UACGUAGGGUGCAAGCGUUUAAUCGGAAUUACUGGGCGUAAAGCGUGCGCAGGCGGUUUUGUAAGUCUGUCGUGAAAGCCCCCGGGCUUAACCUGGGAAUUGCGAUGGAGACUGCAAGGCUGGAGUCUGGCAGAGGGGGGUAGAAUUCCACGUGUAGCAGUGAAAUGCGUAGAGAUGUGGAGGAACACCGAUGGCGAAGGCAGCCCCCUGGGUCAAGACUGACGCUCAUGCACGAAAGCGUGGGGAGCAAACAGG
rnacentral:rRNA from 1 species